GAUGAACGCUGGCGGCGUGCCUAAUACAUGCAAGUCGAGCGAACCUCUUCGGAGGUUAGCGGCGGACGGGUGAGUAACACGUGGGUAACCUGCCUGUAAGACUGGGAUAACUUCGGGAAACCGAAGCUAAUACCGGAUACUUUUUUGAGUCGCAUGACUCGAAAUGGAAAGACGGCUUGGCUGUCACUUACAGAUGGACCCGCGUCGCAUUAGCUAGUUGGUGAGGUAACGGCUCACCAAGGCGACGAUGCGUAGUCGACCUGAGAGGGUGAUCGGCCACACUGGGACUGAGACACGGCCCAGACUCCUACGGGAGGCAGCAGUAGGGAAUCUUCGGCAAUGGGCGAAAGCCUGACCGAGCAACGCCGCGUGAGUGAUGAAGGCUUUCGGGUCGUAAAACUCUGUUGUUAGGGAAGAACAAGUACGAGAGUAACUGCUCGUACCUUGACGGUACUUAACCAGAAAGCCACGGCUAACUACGUGCCAGCCGCCGCAGUAA
rnacentral:rRNA from 1 species